AUUGAACGCUGGCGGCAGGCCUAACACAUGCAAGUCGAGCGAGCGGCGGACGGGAGAGUAAUGUAUGGGGACUGCCCGAUAGAGGGGGAUAAGUAAUGGAAACGGUGGCUAAUAACGCAUACUAUCGGAUAACCCAUAUGGGAUUAGCUAGUAGGUGGGGUAAAGGCUCACCUAGGCGACGAUCUCUAGCUGGUCGGAGAGGAUGAUCAGCCACACUGGAACUGAGACACGGCCCAGACUCCGACGGAGGCAGCAGUGGGGAAUAUUGCACAAUGGGCGCAAGCCUGAUGCAGCCAUGCCGCGUGUAUGAAGAAGGCCUUAGGGUUGUAAAGUACUUUCAGCUGGGAGGCGUUACCCGCAGAAGAAGCACCGGCUAACUCCGUGCCAGCAGCCGCGGUAAUUC
rnacentral:rRNA from 1 species